CGGAGGAGCAUGUGGUUUAAUUCGAUGAUACGCGAGGAACCUUACCUGGGCGUCGAACGUAAGAUGACUGUAGGUGAAAGCUUACAUCUCUUCGGAGCAUUUUACGAGGUGCUGCAUGGUUGUCGUCAGCUCGUGCCGUGAGGUGUCGGGUUAAGUCCCAUAACGAGCGCAACCCUACCUUUAGUUGCCAUCAGGUAAUGCUGGGGACUCUAAAGGAACUGCCUACGCAAGUAGUGAGGAAGGCGGGGAUGACGUCAAAUCAGCACGGCCCUUACGUCCAGGGCUACACACGUGCUACAAUGGCCGAUACAGAGGGCAGCUACCUGGUGACAGGAUGCAAAUCUCCAAAGUCGGUCUCAGUUCGGAUCGGAGUCUGCAACCCGACUCCGUGAAGUUGGAUUCGCUAGUAAUCGCGCAUCAGCCAUGGCGCGGUGAAUACGUUCCCGGGCCUU
rnacentral:rRNA from 1 species